GUACGGGUUGUGAGAGCAAGAGCCCGGAGAUGGAUUCUGAGACACGAAUCCAGGCCCUACGGGGUGCAGCAGGCGCGAAAACUUUACAAUGCCGGCAACGGCGAUAAGGGGACCUCGAGUGCCAGGUUACAAAUCUGGCUGUCGUGAUGCCUAAAAAGCAUUGCAUAGCAAGGGCCGGGCAAGACCGGUGCCAGCCGCCGCGGUAACACCGGCGGCUCGAGUGGUAACCGUUAUUAUUGGGUCUAAAGGGUCUGUAGCCGGCCGGAUAAGUCUCUUGAGAAAUCCAGCAGCUCAACUGUUGGGCUUUCAGGAGAUACUGUUCGGCUCGAGGCCGGGAGAGGUGAGAGGUACUUCAGGGGUAGGGGUGAAAUCUUGUAAUCCUUGAAGGACCACCAGUGGCGAAGGCGUCUCACCAGAACGGACCUGACGGCAAGGGACGAAAGCUGGGGGCACGAACCGGAUUAGAUACCCGGGUAGUCCUAGCCGUAAACGAUACUCGCUAGGUGUCGGCCACGGUGCGACCGUUGUCGGUGCCGUAGGGAAGCCGUGAAGCGAGC
rnacentral:rRNA from 1 species